GACGGAGGGUGCGAGCGUUAUUCGGAAUCAUUGGGCGUAAAGAGUGUGUAGGCGGCCGGUUAAGUCAGGCGUGAAAGCCCAGGGCUCAACCCUGGAAGUGCGUUUGAAACUGGCUGGCUUGAGUUCGGGAGAGGGAAGCGGAAUUCCUGGUGUAGAGGUGAAAUUCGUAGAUAUCAGGAGGAACAUCGGUGGCGAAGGCGGCUUCCUGGACCGAAACUGACGCUGAGACACGAAAGCGUGGGGAGCAAACAGG
rnacentral:rRNA from 1 species